UCGGUGACUGCAAACACCUGACCCUGAGUCUUUGGUCUGUUCUUCGGCUUCAUCAUAGGGCGGUCCUUGAUCAGGUGGCUAGGCUUGUCACAUCCAUAACAUGUUCCCAGCUUCUUUUGGCACUCAACUACAGAGUGGUUGCUCUAUUCAUAAUAUUAGCAUGCCGGGUGCCGAUUCUCCCUCACAUCACUCGGGAAAAUCUUAUGGGUUUUCAUGUUGCCCUGAUUAGUCCUUCCCCUAAAGUCUCUCUUAGGAAGAGGCCGAGUCUU
rnacentral:lncRNA from 1 species